CUGAACAGACGGGUCUCGACCCCAUAAACUYUUAGUUAACAGCUAAGCGCCUAAUCCAGCAGGCUUCUGUUC
rnacentral:tRNA from 1 species